GGGGGGCUGCCCCCCGGGGUGUGCGUACGUGGGGACGGGGGGCUGCCCUCGGGCUGUGCGUACCUGGUCCCGGGGGGCUGCCCCCCGGGGUGUGCGUGUGUGGGGCUGGGGGCUGCCCCACGGGGUCUGCCUACCUAGGGUGGGGGCUGCCCCACCGGGCACGCGUAGCUGGGGCCGGGGCUGCCCCACGGCCCCCGGCUCGGGGCCCAGGGCCCUCACACGGCCUCCUGCGCCCGCCGGUACUCGAAGAGGCUCCCGCGCUCCGCAAAGCUCCGGGGCGCCGGCGGCUCCGCACCAUCCUCGGCAUCCCCGGCAUCCCCAGGGGGCCCGAAGCCGCCCCCACCGGGGGUCUGCAGGCAGAAGACGUCCUGCGGAGGGGAGAGGAGGCAACAGGGCCGGGGGUGGGGGGGACACACGCAUCUCACCCCCGCCUGCACCGGCACCGAUGUCUUGGCGCCCAGGUUGAUGGCUCGCCCGUCGCGGCGCAGCAGCAGGUUGAGCCCCAGGGCGCCGGGGCUGCCGCCUGCCGGGGACAAGGGGGCGAGCGGGGUGCCGUGGGGCGCGCCCUGGGGCAUGCCGUCGGGCGCACCAUGGGGCACGCCGUGGGGCACACCGUGGGGCACAGGGCUCACCUUGCAGGCCGUAGGGCUGGAUGGCGCGGCGCUCGCUCAGCACCGACAGCACCAUGUCCUGGCGGAAGAGCAGCUCCCGGCACACGCCGUCGCCCCCCCGGAAGCGCCCGGCGCCCCCCGAGCCGCGGCGCAGCUCGAAGCGCUGCAGGACCACGGGGUACCUGGGGGGCGCACGGUCAGGCGGCGCGGGACCGAGCGCGGCCCCCCCCGGCCCUGCACCCACCGCUGCUCCAGGACCUCGGGGUCGGUGAUGCGCGUGUUGGUCAUGUGCGUGUGCACCCCGCUGCGGCCGUGCCAGCGGGGACCGGCCCCCGCGCCCCCCGCCACCGUCUCGUAGUAGCCCACGCGCUCGUUCCCGAAGGUGACGUUGUUCAUGCAGCCCUGGGGAGAGGUGCCACGG
rnacentral:lncRNA from 1 species